UACGGAGGAGGCAAGCGUUAUCCGGAAUUAUUGGGCGUAAAGCGUCCGCAGGUGGCACUUCAAGUCUGUCGUCAAAGACUGGGGCUUAACCCUGGAAAGGCGGUGGAAACUGAAGCGCUAGAGUGCGGUAGGGUAGAGGGAAUUCCCGGUGUAGCGGUGAAAUGCGUAGAGAUCGGGAAGAACAUCGGUGGCGAAAGCGCUCUACUGGACCGCAACU
rnacentral:rRNA from 1 species